rnacentral:rRNA from 1 species
GGAAGGCUAAUCCUCCCAGGGUGAGUCGGGAGCUAAGACGAGGCCGAGAGGCGUAGUCGAUGCACAACCGGUUGAUAUUCCGGUACCACUGUGAGCACGACCAGGCUUAACUAUUGUUGCUAAGGGGAUGCUAGGAGCCCGUAAAAAGGCACCUAGAGGAACCGACCCACAAUGGAGCGGCCAGCAAUGCGGGGACGCAGGAAGGUAGAUGAACCCACCCGAUGGUAGAGGUGGGGUAAGUAUGUAGGGCGGGUCCCAGGAAAAUCCGGUACCCACAAAGUCUGAGAUACGACGCCGACUCAAUUACGAGGAAGUCAUUGAUCCUAUGCUGCCAAGAAAAGCCGCUAGCGAGUUCUCACGGUGCCCGUACCCCAAACCAACACAGGUGGAUAGGUAGAGAAUACCAAGGCGAUUGGGAGAACUGUGGUUAAGGAACUCGGCAAAUUACAUCCGUAACUUCGGGAGAAGGAUGACCUCAUCAGAGUGAUGGAACGGCUUGCCGCUUCCUGAGCUCGAAGAGGUGUCACAAACCAGAGGGAAGCGACUGUUUACUAAAAACACAGCAGCGUGCUAAGCCGUAAGGCGCUGUAUACGCUGUGACGCCUGCCCGGUGCCGGAAGGUUACGGGGACGGGUUAGCCCAUUAGGGCGAAGCUCUGAACCUAAGCCCCGGUAAACGGCGGCCGUAACUAUAACGGUCCUAAGGUAGCGAAAUUCCUUGUCGGGUAAGUUCCGACCUGCACGAAUGGCGUAACGACUUCCCUACUGUCUCAACCACAGACCCAGCGAAAUUGAAGUACGAGUAAAGAUGCUCGUUAGCUACAGAAGGACGGAAAGACCCCGUGGACCUUUACUACAACUUGGUAUUGAUGUUUGACCUUCACUGUGCAGGAUAGGUGGGAGACUAUGAAACGCAUGCGCCAGUGUGCGUGGAGUCACCCUUGAAAUACCACCCUGUGUAUGUUGAACAUCUAACCUCGACCCGUUAUCCGGGUUAGGAACAGUGCCAGGCGGGUAGUUUGACUGGGGCGGUCGCCUCCCAAAGAGUAACGGAGGCGCCCAAAGGUUCCCUCAGCCUGGUUGGCAAUCAGGCAUUGAGUGCAAUGGCAGAAGGGAGCUUGACUGCGAGACUAACAAGUCGAGCAGGGUCGAAAGACGGGCAUAGUGAUCCGGCGGUUGCGUGUGGAAGCGCCGUCGCUCAACGGAUAAAAGGUACCCCGGGGAU